UACGUAGGGGGCAAGCGUUGUCCGGAAUCAUUGGGCGUAAAGCGCGUGUAGGCGGCCCGGUAAGUCCGCUGUGAAAGUCGGGGGCUCAACCCUCGAAUGCCGGUGGAUACUGUCGGGCUAGAGUGCGGAAGAGGCGAGUGGAAUUCCUGGGUGAUAGCGGUGAAUGACGCAGAUAUCAGGAGGAACACCUAUUGCGAAGGCAGGCUCGCUGGGACGUAACUGACGCUGAGACGCGAAAGCGUGGGGAGCAAACAGG
rnacentral:rRNA from 1 species